CAGUAGCCGCGGGAAUACGAAGGGUGCAAGCGUUACUCGGAAUUACUGGGCGUAAAGCGUGCGUAGGUGGUGAUUUAAGUCCGUUGUGAAAGCCCUGGGCUCAACCUGGGAAUUGCAGUGGAUACUGGGUCACUAGAGUGUGGUAGAGGAUAGUGGAAUUUCCGGUGUAGCAGUGAAAUGCGUAGAGAUCGGAAGGAACAUCUGUGGCGAAGGCGACUAUCUGGGCCAACACUGACACUGAGGCACGAAAGCGUGGGGAGCAAACAGGAUUAGAUACCCCAGUAGUCCCUGUCUCUUAUAC
rnacentral:rRNA from 1 species